rnacentral:rRNA from 1 species
UACGUAGGGUCCGAGCGUUGUCCGGAAUUAUUGGGCGUAAAGAGCUCGUAGGCGGUUUGUCGCGUCUGCCGUGAAAACCCGAGGCUUAACCUCGUGGCUUGCGGUGGAUACGGGCAGACUAGAGGUAGGUAGGGGAGAAUGGAAUUCUCGGUGUAGCGGUGAAAUGCGCAGAUAUCGGGAGGAACACCGGUGGCGAAGGCGGUUCUCUGGGCCUUACCUGACGCUGAGGAGCGAAAGCGUGGGGAGCGAACAGG